AUGGCGAGCGACGACGACAAAGCUGCGUGGCGGUGCUGCAAUGGGCGGAUGGCGAGCUACGACAUGGCCGGUGGUGAUGCUGGAAUCAUCACCUGGCGGUGCUGCAAUCAGGGGGGUGUGAGACGCGUCGAGAUGCAAAGGCGGAGCUGCAUCCGGCGAGCGGCCUCGGCGAGCUGUGGCGGCCCCGGCGAGCGGCGGCAGCCCCGGCAAGCGGCGACGGCAAGCGGCCCCGGCGAGCGGCGACGGACAACCAAGGGCGAGCACCAGGAGACUGACCUGUGGAUUUCUUCUUUUUUUUCUCACGCGCGUCCAGAAGGAAGAAGACGACCUGCAGACCGGCCCAAAUUUCGGCCGGUGGGCCGGCGCCUAUCAGCGCCCUUUAUAAAGCCACCACUCCCUUCGCCCCUAGAAAAGGAGCAAGACAAUCCCUUCUCCUCUACCGCCGCCGCAGCCGCCAAGACAAUCAACUGCGAAGCCAACUCUGAUUGCCGCCUGCACCAUCUUCGACUUGUAGUUGCGUACGGGUGGAGGGCCAAUGGCAACGCCUUUGAAAGGAGUCGAAGGAACCAGAGUGGCAAGAAAUCCAGAAAAUAUUUACCUUCCCCCGAUGGCGCGUACAGCACAAGAAGGCGACGAGCAAGGAGGAACAAGUUCAACGCGUUCACUGUCUGGAUAAACUUGUUUCCCGACUCUCGCCGCCGUAAGCAGACUGCUUUCUCAGCACGAGCAGAUGUGCAGUGCCUGCCUCCGGCUCUCUUCCGCUUGGAGGCAGCGCAUGGAUCGCUGGAGUACUUUGCGUCAGCCUUUGGCACCAGGAUCUUGGCGAUGCAUACCAGGGAUCCCGGAGGCAAGAGAUUGUUGGCCGGGACCUUCGUUCCCAUGUUGGACGUCUCCUCGCUGAGCAUGACCUUUUGCCCUGGCCAGGAAUAUCCGAUUAAUCCCAUUUAUCUCUCCGCCGGCAAUAAGCUAUUCUGCCUGAGCGAAGCCUCCUUCGAGAUGCUCCAAUGGGAGCCUCUCUGCCCGCCGCCGCUGGGUCGACGUCGCAAAAAGGAGUGGUCGUGGCAACGGCUCGAGGAUCCGCCAUUCAGAAAAUAUAUGGUCACUUCCUACGCUGUGGAUGUGAACCCUGAAGCAUGCACCUUCCUCGUCAGCACCAAGUACGGCACCUUCUCCUAUCACACGGCACGGAAUCGGUGGUCCCAGGUUGGCAGUUGGGUGCUGCCCUUUGACGGCCGUGGUCACUUUGACACGCACCUCGUGGCCUUUGUUGGGCUCUCCAAACACAAGCACACCCUCGGCCAACUCUACUCCUGCCAAUUCAACGCCGGGGGUGACCCCACCAUUAAGCUUGGCAAGGAGAAGCUGUUCAGCCAGGACCCAACUGAGAGGCAUGUAGGUGCCACCCUCGUUUACCUGGGACCAGUCUACAUGGAACAAGACUUCACGGGCCGGACAAAAUUCUGCCUUGUAGAGUGCGUCGCCAUUGAGGGCGACGGUGCUGGUCAGGAGCUGAAGGAAGAGCGAGAUGUGAGCCGAUCCGGUUACAGUGCUGAUCAGGAGGUUAAGGUAGAGGCAGAUGUGGCUGAUCAGGAGGUCAAGGAAGAGGCAGAUGUGGCUGGUCAGGGGCUCCAGGAAGGGCGAGAUGUGAGCCAAUCUGGUUACAGUGCUGAUCAGGAACUCAAGGAAGAGGCAGAUGUGGCUGAUCAGGCGCUCAAGGAAAAGGGAGUUGUGAGCUGGCCUGGAUGCUCUACUGAAGAUGACAGUGCUGUUCAGGAGUUCAAUGAACAGCGAGAUGCAUGGCCACCGGGUUGCUCUCUGUAUCGUUUGACCACAUUCUCGCUCAGCUAUGACAACAAAGGAGACCUGACGACUGCCAAUAGCCAUCGGGUGCAAUACUACAAAGUGCCUGAAGCAAUCACUAAGUCGUACCUAGUUGAAGAUCCUGUGGCAUUUUGCAUGUAA
rnacentral:rRNA from 1 species